rnacentral:lncRNA from 10 species
ACUGCACUUCAGCCUGGGCAACAGAGUAAGAUUCCGUCUCAAAAAAAAAAAAAUUAUUAAUAAUAAUAUUAGCUGUAAUCUCACUAUCAAGAGGUAAACAUUUUGUCAUAUUCUCUUGCAGAGUCUUUAGACCUGGAUUACCCAGAUCUAAACUCUGUGAGGGAAGGGAUCAUGCCCAACUCAUCUGUCUAUCCCUGAUCACUUAGUAUAUUUCCUGACAUAUAUGGAAGGUGCCUAUCAGUGUUUGGGGCAUUGAAUUGGUUUCCAGAAGCUUCCCAGGACCAGAAAGUAUUCAAGUACUUGUCUCUUAGUUUCAACAGACAAGUUAUCCUUCCUCUGAGUUCUGCCUCAAAGAGAGGUUCCUUAACACACCACCGUCACUUUUGGACAAUUCUUUGAAGCAAUAUUAACUCUUGUUCACAACACCUGAAGGAAGAGUCUUGCUGCCACGUAAACUCUCUGCCUCAGCCUGGGCACCGCCGGCUACAGAAAGGACCUUCACCACACCCACACAAUGGCAAUACCGGCAAAAAAUUAUGCCAUUCAAUGCCUGUCUCUAAGGAGCUCAAAUACUGUCCUGUUUCUGUUUUUUUGAGACGGAGUUUCACUCUUG